GGUUUUGGAAGUUGGCAUUAUUUCGCGAAGGUUUUUAUAUGUUUGGAAAGUUAUAUUUCCAGCUCAUUCACCUUCCCAAAUUAAUAUGCUGACUUCCAAAACCAAAACUUUUACUUCCAAAGCCAAUAUCAAGGUUUGCAUUCAUUCUGCAUCAUAUGUGCAUGUAUGUAUUGUAGUGCCACACGUCUGUCUAAACCAACGUUUGCAAAAUUUCUGUAUCAACUCACAAUUCACAAACUGCAAACUCACUGAGAUAAGGCUUUCCAUCAGUGGCGAACAAACGAGCAGUGGAAAGUACACAGCAUGGAGAGGCGUCUUUUGUUGGAGUUGUCAUUUCACCAUCUCACUUACUUUCCUACCAGAGAACCAUUUAGGUUUGCUGGUUUCAAUCCUUCAUAUAACAUGGUAAGUCAUCAUGCUUUAUUCAUUGUUUUGGUCUAAUCAGGGCACUUUCAAUUUCAAAGUGCAAUUCACUUUUAAACCACUGUUUUAAAUAUGAACAGCUGUACAUAUGCAUUAGUCAUGUUUACAUUUAUGAUCUAGAAGUAGUCAACAACUUUGCUAACAACAACAAAAAGACCACAUUGUUGUCUGCCCGCAGCCUUUUACUUAAUGAAGCUCUCCAGGCUUGAAAACCUCCUCCUAUUACCAGUCCAAAGUUCUGGACUGGUACUUCCUUGUAUUUUUGUGUACUUUGGCCACUGUCUUUGACUGUUUUAUUGUUUCAUUCUUGAUAGGGACAUGUAAUGAUGUCUCUUCCUUGGCAUUUCUCUUUUCACAGAACUUCAUGACAGCCUUUACAAGUACAUCUUUGGAAAUGUUGUCCAAUGCCUGUUGGCCAGAGGAGAUGUAUUAAAGAGACUCACCAAUCAGCAUAGGGAUGGAAGGAUUAACCACAUUUUGGUCGAGCUCAUAAUGUUCAUCACAUCAGCCUGAUCUCCUUGCAUUUAAGUUUUAUCCUGCUUUCAGUUUAUAGGUUAUAAUGGGAACUGCCCAACCAAUGCUUCAUGUUUAAGUGUGAUUGCUGCCCAUUUAUGUUGUUUUGGGUCCAUUGCUGAACUGCAACCAUAUUUAGGGAGAACCCACUGGUGGCUCGCUUUGUCUUCAAUCGAUGUCUGUUCAAUGAUAAUAACGACAUGUGGCAAUUCACAAGCUGCAAACUCACUGAGAUAAGGUUUUGCAGCAAUGGUGAUCAAAAAAGCAAUGGAAAGUACAAAGAAUGGCAUCUUUUGUGGAGUUGCUUUUGUGCACCAUCUCAGUUAUUUUUCCAACAGAGAACCAUUUAGGAUUGCUGGUUUUAAUGCUUCAUAUAACAUGAAUCAGAUGGAUGACAUGAUUUAUCAAAUAAAUCACUCUCCUAAUUGUUCCAAUUGAGCUCUUUCACUGGACAAGGGUGCAAGAGUACAGUUAGGCUUCAAUAUUGUUAAUCUAAGAAGUGCAACAUUAACAUUCACAUUCCUAUUGCAUGUUUGAUGCCAACCUUAUUUUACCAAUUCAGCCUAUUGACCGGAGAAGGAGCACUGCAGCAUGUCCCUAUACGUGUAACAGGACACAGAGUUUAGGUAGGUUGUGAACCGACCUUUUGUAGGUGCAUCCUACUGUCUAAAGACUGUGUUUUUAAUGACAGUGAAAUACUGGAUCAUUGACAUUGGACUAAGUUUUUGUUGGUCAAUGGUGAAAAAAGCUUUCUGCUGCCUCAAGAUGGAAAGGUGCUGACCACACUUUAUCUAAAAUCGGUGCACUGAUGGAUGGAAGUGCAUUUACUACUUAAACAAGUUAGGUGUGAAAAUGAGAACUGAAACUAGCAGUCACACUGCACUGCUGUACAUGUGUUAGAUAGGGCCCGGACUAUUUAUUAGUAUAAUCUAACAUAAUAAAAAAAAACCUUUAAUCCAGAAAUCUAUAUUUGAAGUCCCCUUUUAUAAUUAUUUGAAAAAAUCACUUAAUGCCCAAAAAAGACUAAAUCCCUUGGGGAGUAUUGCCCCCCUGUUCCACUAGGUGUCCCUGUCCUGCUGGUUUGUCCUUUGUGUUUCAAGUUCCAGGUCUGUUCGGAGGGUCGGCAUCUGUUCAUGAGCAACACCUGGGCCUGAGUCGGUUUACUGGACAUAGAAUUGCAUCACCCUUCCCCUGGACUCUCUGCCCUGUGGACGGAGCUGUUUACAUCUGAUUGCUGACUUCCACAUUUAUUUUCUGUUCCUCAUAUUUUGUAAAUAAAAA